rnacentral:lncRNA from 12 species
AUGUCCCCGGUGGCUCAGACUGUGUUGAUUCAGCAGGAGGAUGCCGGGGCCUCGCUGCACGCCCAGCCUGCCGGCGAGGUGACCCGCUACUUCUUCGGGGCACCUCGCAGAAGCAUCCCUUCUCCCGCCCCUUUUGCACCUGCACCUGCGAGGGCAGGUCAGGGGGAAGCAUCCCCUGUCCCCGCCCCCGCCGGGCCACACCUGCGAGGACAGGUCAGGGGGAAGCAUCCCCCGUCCCUCCCCCGCCGGGCCGCACCUGCGAGGACAGGUCAGGGGGAAGCAUCCCCCGUCCCUCCCCCGCCGGGCCGCACCUGCGAGGACAGGUCAGGGGGAAGCAUCCCCCUUCCCGCCCCCGCCGGGCCGCACCUGCGAGGACAGGUCAGGGGGAAGCAUCCCCCGUCCCGCCCCCGCCGGGCCGCACCUGCGAGGACAGGUGGGGGAAGCAUCCCCUGUCCCGCCUCCCCCGGGCUGCACCUGCGAGGACAGGUCGGGGGAAGCAUCCCCGUCCCGCCCCCACCGGGCCGCACCUGCGAGGACAGGUCAGGGGGAAGCAUCCCCCGUCCCGCCCCCGCCGGGCCGCACCUGCGAGGACAGGUCAGGGGGAAGCAUCCCCCGUCCCUCCCCCGCCGGGCCGCACCUGCGAGGACAGGUCAGGGGGAAGCAUCCCCCUUCCCGCCCCCGCCGGGCCGCACCUGCGAGGACAGGUCAGGGGGAAGCAUCCCCCGUCCCGCCCCCGCCGGGCCGCACCUGCGAGGACAGGUGGGGGAAGCAUCCCCUGUCCCGCCUCCCCCGGGCUGCACCUGCGAGGACAGGUCGGGGGAAGCAUCCCCGUCCCGCCCCCACCGGGCCGCACCUGCGAGGACAGGUGGGGGAAGCAUCCCUUGUCCCGCCCCCGCCGGGCCGCACCUGCGAGGACAGGUGGGGGGAAGCAUCCCCCGUCCCGCCCCCGCCGGGCUGCACGCGCGAGGACAGGUGGAGGGAGGCGCCCUACGCCCCUGGUUCUCCGCGCCGUCCGUGCUGGCGCCCGGGGCCACCUCCGCUGCUCGGUCUCCACGACGGGCCGGGAAGCAGACCCUGCGGGGCAGUGUGAGGACCAAGGGGCCGCGCGGCUCGGGACACCAGCACCCGCCGCGCCGCCGCCGCGCUCCGACGCUUCCGCCCGCAGCCGCCUCCCGCGCACCGGACGCGCGUGGAGCGACCGCAGGAAGGGCCCGCCCCGCCGCCUGCGGGGAACGUGGCGAACGCGGCGUCGGCCCCGCCCACCCCGCGAACGCAGCCUGUGCGCACGCGCGCCGCGCCGCCCCGCCCCUCCGCGCGCAGGAUUCUGGGGCGGCCUGGCCACGCCGCGCGCCGAUUGGCGGAGGGCCGGGCCCGCCUCCGCGUGAUUGA